rnacentral:rRNA from 1 species
UACGGAGGAUGCAAGCGUUAUCCGGAUUCAUUGGGUUUAAAGGGUGCGCAGGCGGAGAUAUAAGUCAGUGGUGAAAAACUGCCGCUCAACGGUAGUCUUGCCAUUGAUACUGUUUCUCUUGAGUAUGGAUGAGGUAGGCGGAAUGUGCAGUGUAGCGGUGAAAUGCAUAGAUAUUGCACGGAACACCAAUUGCGAAGGCAGCUUACUGGGCCAUUACUGACGCUCAGGCACGAAAGCGUGGGGAUCAAACAGGAUUAGAUACC